rnacentral:rRNA from 1 species
ACGAACGCUGGCGGCGUGCUUCACCCCUGCAGGUCGAACGGAAAGGCCCUGCUUUUGUGGGGUGCUCGAGUGGCGAACGGGUGAGUAACACGUGAGUAACCUGCCCUUGACUUUGGGAUAACUUCAGGAAACUGGGGCUAAUACCGGAUAGGAGCUCCUGCUGCAUGGUGGGGGUUGGAAAGGUUCGGCGGUUGGGGAUGGACUCGCGGCUUAUCAGCUUGUUGGUGGGGUAGUGGCUUACCAAGGCUUUGACGGGUAGCCGGCCUGAGAGGGUGACCGGCCACAUUGGGACUGAGAUACGGCCCAGACUCCUACGGGAGGCAGCAGUGGGGAAUAUUGCACAAUGGGCGGAAGCCUGAUGCAGCAACGCCGCGUGCGGGAUGACGGCCUUCGGGUUGUAAACCGCUUUCGCCUGUGACGAAGCGUGAGUGACGGUAAUGGGUAAAGAAGCACCGGCUAACUACGUG